GCCGGAGUGGUGGAACUGGCAGACACGCAGGUCUUAGGAACCUGUGCCCUCGGGCGUGCGGGUUCGAGUCCCGCCUCCGGCA
rnacentral:tRNA from 1 species